rnacentral:tRNA from 1 species
GGUCGCGUAGCUCAGUUGGUAGAGCAGUUGACUUUUAAUCAAUUGGUCGCAGGUUCGAAUCCUGCCGCGAUCA